GACGAACGCUGGCGGCGUGCCUAAUACAUGCAAGUAGAACGCACAGUUUAUACCGUAGCUUGCUACACCAUAAACUGUGAGUUGCGAACGGGUGAGUAACGCGUAGGUAACCUGCCUGGUAGCGGGGGAUAACUAUUGGAAACGAUAGCUAAUACCGCAUAAUAUUGAUUAUUGCAUGAUAAUUGAUUGAAAGAUGCUAUUGCAUCACUACCAGAUGGACCUGCGUUGUAUUAGCUAGUAGGUGAGGUAACGGCUCACCUAGGCGACGAUACAUAGCCGACCUGAGAGGGUGAUCGGCCACACUGGGACUGAGACACGGCCCAGACUCCUACGGGAGGCAGCAGUAGGGAAUCUUCGGCAAUGACGAAAGUCUGACCGAGCAACGCCGCGUGAGUGAAGAAGGUUUUCGGAUCGUAAAGCUCUGUUGUAAGAGAAGAACGGGUGUGAGAGUGGAAAGUUCACACUGUGACGGUAUCUUACCAGAAAGGGACGGCUAACUACGUG
rnacentral:rRNA from 1 species